GCGGACAUGACGUGUGGCUGUCGUAAAAACCCUAUUUGUAAACAACCAGCCCUUUAACUCGGGGCUGCGUCAUAAACACGGCGCGCUUGGAAGACCACGAUGUCAUCUUCCUUCUGUCAGGAGGAUCCAAGUGAAGCUACAGGAGUUUCAUUAACGUCAACAACUUGGACCAAACAGUUUGUUUUGCUUGAUGAAGAGCAGGAAGGGCAGCCUGGAGAGAAAGAGAAGCCGGGUUGAGCCCACUACCAUCAUCCACGUACCACGAGGAAGAUGAGGGAGAGAAAUGAUCCUACCAUUAAAGAGACUGUGAAAAGAACGUUGAGAACAUCACCACUCUACAGGAAGACACAGUCCAGUAAUGGGUGUCAGAAGUUCAGUAGUGAACGACAGAAACAAACAAUCCAAAUUACCUGCAGAAAGCCCUUGAUGGACGCUUCAGCUGCAUCGUCAGACUGGCAGUACUGAUGCAUUUACUGAGAGGGGACGUGAGGGCCUACUCUGCGUGCUCAGAGUUCAAGCCCAGCAGGCUGCAGCGGGCCUGACAUAUUCUGGAACAGCAGCACAGUCUUUGGAUGACUCCUCUGAAGAUGAAAACAUGGCGAGUUCUUCUCAAGAGAAGCAGUACAGGUGUGCCUCAGCUCCACGGUCCCUCCUGCAGCCUCCGCUCCUGAUGCUAACCUCAUGUCUCCAUCACACCAAGCAGCAGACCUGGAUUGACAGACCUUUCUCCAGAGCUGCCCCCUCCCUCUGAAACCCCCCUCUCCAAAACACUAUUUGUGUAGUUUUUAAAGUAUUUUUUGCAUGAGAAUUGUUGAUCAUAACAUUUCCAGCAGAUGCCUUAAUAUAAUG